GACGAACGCUGGCGGCGUGCUUAACACAUGCAAGUCGAACGGAAAGGCCCUGCUUUUGUGGGGUGCUCGAGUGGCGAACGGGUGAGUAACACGUGAGUAACCUGCCCUUGACUUUGGGAUAACUUCAGGAAACUGGGGCUAAUACCGGAUAGGAGCUCCUGCUGCAUGGUGGGGGUUGGAAAGUUUCGGCGGUUGGGGAUGGACUCGCGGCUUAUCAGCUUGUUGGUGGGGUAGUGGCUUACCAAGGCUUUGACGGGUAGCCGGCCUGAGAGGGUGACCGGCCACAUUAGGACUGAGAGACGGCCCAGACUCCUACGGGAGGCGGCAGUGGGGAAUAUUGCACAAUGGGCGGAAGCCUGAUGCAGCAACGCCGCGUGCGGGAUGACGGCCUUCGGGUUGUAAACCGCUUUCGCCUGUGACGAAGCGUGAGUGACGGUAAUGGGUAAAGAAGCACCGGCUAACUACGUG
rnacentral:rRNA from 1 species